CUGUGCCUGUUUUGAGAGGCUGUGGUUCUGGGCUCCCAUGGACCUCUCACCCAGGCAGGAUCUGGCUCAGUGGGGAGAAAAUUCUGCCCCCCACCUCCCUGUCCUCUCGGCUCAGCCUCACAGCUUGCCAGUGGGGUUUGGCCAGGGACACACAUUAGUCCUUUUUGAUGCCUCCUCUCACCCUCCCUUCGGCAGGACUGAAGCACCAGAGCCUCUCGGGCUGUCCUCAGGGUCGGGACAGCCUCUCACCCCAUCCCCUGCUCGGGGAGCUCCUGUAGCUGCCCUGCUUUGUGCUCUGCUUCCUCGGCACCGGUUAUGCAAGCGGCUUUGGAAGCAAGACAAAAUUACAGCGGGAAGAAAUCAUCGCCCGGCUCUGGUGGGAAAAGAUAUUAUCCUGCGUUGCCAGCGAGACUGGCCGUCGGCAGGGAGUUCCUCCCCUUUCCAGCAUGGUGAGAACAGCAGUGGGAGAUUUAUCCUUGAGGAGUGAAGGAUUCAGAGGGGCCUAAAGCAGCCAUGCAGUACCUGUGAGGAGGUGAUGGAGAAGACAGCCAGGCUCUUCAGAGCAGUGUGUGGUGAGAGGAGGAACAGGUAUGAGAGAGCUGAAGGAGCAGAGAGAGCCACAGCGGGAGCGCUCGAAGCAGACGGCGCUGCUGCGUGGAGAUCCAUGCCCAACUGCUCCAUAUCAUAUCAUCCAGCAUAUGUCUAGAGACAGGCCAGCAAAUUCAGACCUGAAAAUGGCUAUAAUUGCCAGGCAGGACUUGGAGAUUGAAAGAGCUUCAAAGAAAACACAAUUCCUAUGUGUUGAGAGCAGCGUGGUGGUUCUCCAGGAGUUCAGUUUGGUGGGACAGACCCUCCCCUUGCACAUUACUUUAGUCCUGGCAGGUCAAACCUGGCUCACUCACUCGCACCACUUCAGUGUUUGCUGGUUUGGCUCCAAACCAGAGCUUGCUGGUCUUAGCACACUACACAGGAUCAGAGAAUCACGGAAUAUCCUGAGCUGGGAGGGACCCAUAAGGACUAUGGAGUCCAUCUCCUGGCCCUGCACAGGACAGCCCAUGAAUCACACCAUGAUUCUCAUAUAUUUCCAUCUAUUUUUCCAUAUAGCUCUUUUUGCCUUUUCCUACUCUCUCUGCAGCUUAGUUUUCCCAAUCAUUGCCCAGAAUCUGCCCUGGAACAGUGGAAAAUGCUGUUGCCAUCAGAUUUUACCGUGGUCAAAGGCACGUGGCCUGGAGCUUAGAGGGAGUCCCCCCAGUCACAGUGACAGAUUUCCUGAGAGCCCUCCCUGGCUCCCAGCACAGGUCCUCAGGCAGCAAUGCCACCACCCUCUGCUGUCACACGCUCUUGUCCCCGUGGUGGGCACCACCUUGAGGGCAGCCAAGCCUACCAGCAGCUGGGGGAUGGCAUCUGGUGGCCUGAAUGGCUUGUGUGGGCUUCAGAAGUGACCUGAACUGUGGUGUGAGCUGCCCGGGGGUGCCAGGCUGGGCGCUGUCCCUCAGGUGACACAGGCACCCUCACAGGGCUCCUGCCAGCUCCGGCUGGCACCAGCAGCACAGAGAGCCUGGGCACGCCCCGGGCUGGCAGUCACGUCCCUCCGUGGGAAGGUCAGUCCCUGUGGGAAUGGGAAACCUCAUCCCAGCUUCCCUCCACAUUCCCACCCCUUUUUCUCUGUGGGAUCCCCUCUCACAUCCCACCCUGAGCCCUGCUGGCAGCAGCACCAGCCACAGCCCUGCAGCAUCACCUCCCCAGCCCCAGCCUCCCUCCCUCCCAGCACAGCGGGAGCCUUGGGGCUCUCCCUCGCUCUCCUCUCUUCCAGGAGCCAGGUGAAACCCAGUAGUUUUUAGGAUCUGUGCUGGCAGAACACAGCGAGCAGAUGGUGCCCUAAAAUCCCCGCGCCCCGAAGAGCCAGCUAGUGAUCAUUUGUGAAGCUCUCGAGAUCUAUUUUUUUCCCAGUCCCUGCUGAGCCUGGCGAGGACUGUAAUUGCAGCCUGGACCGGCUGGAGAGGGCAAUACCCGGAUGGGCUCCUCGCCUUCCAGGCUGUAAUUGGGCCCUGGCGAUACAAAGCACAAAGCUCCUUUCCUUCCUGUUUGCCGGGCUCCCUCCGUGCAACCUUCCCCUGCCUGCGCUGGAAAAUAUGUAAAUACCAGGGCACGGGAGAAUUGCUCCCUCGUGCCUGCGUCACGUCUGAAAUCCCCAUUAAAAAUAUAUGUUCCAAAAAGAGCACCUCUGCACCGAGCACAAACUCUCCCGGCAGUGGGGGCUGUUUGAAGGGAGCGGCGGGGAGCGGAUCAAAGGGAGAGGGGACGGCGCUGUCCCAGCUAAAUUAGCAGCGGGGACGGGGGAUUGGAGCUCCGCAGGAUCAAUAGGACUCUCUGGAAAUGCCUGGCAGUCACGCAGGAGGUUGGGAUUCAGCAGCGGGGUCUGCAGUGCUGUGCUGCGGCUCGGCUGGCUGUGCCAAGCCUGG